UUAGAGUUUGAUCCUGGCUCAGAUUGAACGCUGGCGGCAGGCUUAACACAUGCAAGUCGAGCGGUAACAGGAGAGCUUGCUCUCGCUGACGAGCGGCGGACGGGUGAGUAAUGUCUGGGAAUCUGCCCUAGUGAGGGGGAUAACCACUGGAAACGGUGGCUAAUACCGCAUAACGUCGCAAGACCAAAGUAGGGGACCUUCGGGCCUUACGCACUAGGAUGAGCCCAGAUGAGAUUAGCUAGUUGGUGAGGUAAUGGCUCACCAAGGCGACGAUCUCUAGCUGGUCUGAGAGGAUGAUCAGCCACACUGGGACUGAGACACGGCCCAGACUCCUACGGGAGGCAGCAGUGGGGAAUAUUGGACAAUGGGGGCAACCCUGAUCCAGCCAUGCCGCGUGUGUGAAGAAGGCCUUCGGGUUGUAAAGCACUUUCAUUGGUGAGGAAGGAGGUAAAGCUAAUAUCUUUAUCUAUUGACGUUAACCAAAGAAGAAGCACCGGCUAACUCCGUGCCAGCAGCCGCGGUAAUACGGAGGGUGCGAGCGUUAAUCGGAAUUACUGGGCGUAAAGGGCAUGCAGGCGGUUACAUAAGUCAGAUGUGAAAUCCCCGCGCUUAACGUGGGCAUUGCAUUUGAAACUAUGUAGCUAGAGUUCUGUAGAGGGGGGUAGAAUUCCAGGUGUAGCGGUGAAAUGCGUAGAGAUCUGGAGGAAUACCGAUUGCGAAGGCAGCCCCCUGGACAGUGACUGACGCUCAUAUGCGAAAGGCGUGGGAUCAACCAG
rnacentral:rRNA from 1 species